rnacentral:rRNA from 1 species
UGGGGAAUUUUGGACAAUGGGCGCAAGCCUGAUCCAGCCAUGCCGCGUGAGUGAAGAAGGCCUUCGGGUUGUAGAGCUCUUUCGGACGGGAAGAAAUGGCGGGCUCUAACAUAGCCUGUCGAUGACGGUACCGUAAGAAGAAGCACCGGCUAACUACGUGCCAGCAGCCGCGGUAAUACGUAGGGUGCGAGCGUUAAUCGGAAUUACUGGGCGUAAAGCGUGCGCAGGCGGUUUUGUAAUACAGAUGUGAAAUCCCCGGGCUUAACCUGGGA